rnacentral:rRNA from 1 species
GACGAACGCUGGCGGCGUGCUUAACACAUGCAAGUCGAACGGAAAGGCCCCUUUGGGGGUACUCGAGUGGCGGACGGGGGAGUAACACGGGAGUAACCUGCCCUUGACUUCGGGAUAACUUCAGGAAACUGGGGCUAAUACCGGAAAGGAAUCCUUGCUGCAUGGGGGGGGUUGGAAAGCUUCGGCGGUUUUGGAUGGACUCGCGGGUUAACAGCUUGUUGGUGGGGUAGUGGCUUACCAAGGCUUUGACGGGUAGCCGGCCUGAGAGGGCGACCGGCCACAUUGGGACUGAGAUACGGCCCAGACUCCUACGGGAGGCAGCAGUGGGGAAUAUUGCACCAUGGGCGGAAGCCUGAUGCAGCAACGCCGCGUGCGGGAUGACGGCCUUGGGGUUGUAAACCGCUUUCAGCAGGGGCGAAGCUUGUGGUGACGGUACCUGCAGAAGAAGCACCGGCUAACUACGUG